GACGGAGGAUGCAAGCGUUAUCCGGAAUGAUUGGGCGUAAAGCGUCCGCAGGUGGCAGUUCAAGUCUGCUGUCAAAGACCGGGGCUUAACUUCGGAAAGGCAGUGGAAACUGAACAGCUAGAGUAUGGUAGGGGCAGAGGGAAUUCCUGGUGUAGCGGUGAAAUGCGUAGAGAUCAGGAAGAACAUCGGUGGCGAAGGCGCUCUGCUGGACCAUAACUGACACUAAGGGACGAAAGCUAGGGGAGCGAAUGGG
rnacentral:rRNA from 1 species